rnacentral:rRNA from 1 species
GUUAACUGCGGUGCAGCGGGCGCGGGAAUACGUAGGGCGAAAGCGUUGGCCGGAAUUAUUGGGCGUAAAGAGCUCGUAGGCGGUCUGUUACGGCUGCUGUGAAAACCCAGGGCUUAACCCUGGGCGUGCAGUGGAUACGGGCAGACUAGAGGCAGGUAGGGGAGAAUGGAAUUCCCGGUGUAGCGGUGAAAUGCGCAGAUAUCGGGAGGAACACCGGUGGCGAAGGCGGUUCUCUGGGCCUGACCUGACGCUGAGGAGCGAAAGCGUGGGGAGCGAACAGGAUUAGAUACCCUAGUAGUC